rnacentral:rRNA from 1 species
AUUGAACGCUGGCGGCAUGCCUUACACAUGCAAGUCGAGCGGCAGCACGGGAGCAAUCCUGGUGGCGAGUGGCGAACGGGUGAGUAAUAUAUCGGAACGUGCCCAGUAGUGGGGGAUAACUGCUCGAAAGAGCAGCUAAUACCGCAUACGACCUAAGGGUGAAAGGGGGGGAUCGCAAGACCUCUCGCUAUUGGAGCGGCCGAUAUCAGAUUAGCUAGUUGGUGGGGUAAAGGCCUACCAAGGCAACGAUCUGUAGUUGGUCUGAGAGGACGAACAGCCACACUGGGACUGAGACACGGCCCAGACUCCUACGGGAGGCAGCAGUGGGGAAUUUUGGACAAUGGGCGCAAGCCUGAUCCAGCAAUGCCGCGUGCAGGAAGAAGGCCUUCGGGUUGUAAACUGCUUUUGUCAGGGAAGAAAUCCUCUAGGUUAAUACCCUAGGGGGGAUGACGGUACCUGAAGAAUAAGCACCGGCUAACUACGUGCCAGCAGCCGCGGUAACAC